CGCCUUGCCAGCCCGCCUCAGAAACUUAAAGGAAUUGACGGGGCCCGCACAAGCGGUGGAGCAUGUGGUUUAAUUCGAUGAUACGCGAGGAACCUUACCUGGGCUCAAAUGUAUGUUGACGUAUUCUGAAAGGGAUACUUCUUCGGACAAUAUACAAGGUGCUGCAUGGUUGUCGUCAGCUCGUGCCGUGAGAUGUCGGGUUAAGUCCCAUAACGAGCGCAACCCCUAUCAUUAGUUGCCAUCAGGUCAAGCUGGGGACUCUAAUGAAACUGCCUACGCAAGUAGUGAGGAAGGUGGGGAUGACGUCAAAUCAGCACGGCCCUUACGUCCAGGGCUACACACGUGCUACAAUGGUCGGUACAAAGGGUUGCCAAGCCGCGAGGUGGAGCUAAUCCCAUAAAACCGAUCGUAGUCCGGAUCGCAGUCUGCAACUCGACUGCGUGAAGUCGGAAUCGCUAGUAAUCGUGAAUCAGAAUGUCACGGUGAAUACGUUCCCGGGCCUU
rnacentral:rRNA from 1 species